GGAGGCGUGGCCGAGUGGUUGAUGGCGGCGGUCUUGAAAACCGUUAGGUGAUGAGCCUCGGGGGUUCGAAUCCUCCCGCCUCCGCCA
rnacentral:tRNA from 1 species